rnacentral:rRNA from 1 species
UACGGAGGGCGCAAGCGUUACUCGGAAUCACUGGGCGUAAAGAGCGUGUAGGCGGAUAGAUAAGUUAGGAGUGAAAUCCUAUGGCUCAACCAUAGAACUGCUUCUAAAACUGUCUAUCUAGAGUAUGGGAGAGGUAGAUGGAAAUUUUCUGGUGUAGGGGGUAAAAUCCGUAGAGAUCAGAAGGAAUACCGAUUGCGAAGGCGAUCUACUGGAACAUAACUGACGCUGAGACGCGAAAGCGUGGGGAGCAAACAGG